UACAAAGAUGGUCUUCUCCAUUCUCUUAUUUUGCUGAGCCGGUGUUGCAACGUUUGGGUAACACUAUUAACUCCAGCCAUCUCUCCACCUUUACACCUUCCCACCAAGGUUUCCCAAACCCUAAUUUUUAACAAGCAACUUCUCUAGUACUCUUUCACCUCUAUAUAAAAUUUCACUCCGAAUUACAGACCACCAUAUUACCAGUUCAUCAACACAAAUUCAUUUGCAUAAAUGUCUCAUAAACAUGUAAAUCCAGUGUUGUUGUCUCUCUGAUUGUUUUUUUUUUUGCUAAGUCCGAUCGUGUUCUUUGAAGAUGUUGUUUCCAGAGUGGCUGAGGCGAGGUUGAUUUUCAAGCUCAUUCAGUUUCAGGAAGCUUGGAAUCCAGCAGAAGCUGGGAUGCUAAUUGCUCUUGAGCUUCUCCUGAUCGACGAGAAGGAUUUAUCGCACCUAAUCGUGUACGCCAUUAUGAAGCUUUUCUCAAGCUGAGCUCCACCUCUUUAGCCUCACCAACUUCUUCGCGACGAAAAACAAAGGUCAUUAACUACAAAUACACGAGUUGCUUUACUCACAUCUUAAUAUCCUUUGAUAUAUGUCUUUCUUUACUGUCUAAGACGUCAAAAAUGUCUUCAAAUCUAUUUAGAAAGUUGUGAUAGUUACAGGAAAUGAGCUUGGAUGUUAACAUAACUAGCAAUGUUGGUCUUCAAGGUUCCCUUGAUUCUAUUGGUGAAUCAAGUUGAACGAAUGGUUCAGAUGGGAACACAACGAUAUAUUUCUUGAAAAACUGAUUCUAACUUUAUGGUUAAGAGUCUUACGCAUAAGAAACUGUAUGUUAAUAAUUACUAAUUAUUGGUGGCUUUACAUAAAACUUAAGCCUCAGAAACUGAUAUUGGUGGUUUCCCUUUGUUUUGUUUUUUUGUUUUUUUUUUUUUUUUUGAUUAACCUGGAGGGACUUCCACCUCCAGGGGCCAACCCCUCGGCGCGAGGCGGACCAUUUGGUACUAUGGGGAAUUAGAUACCCCAAUUGCCUGGCCAGCGGUUCGAACCCGGGUGCGUAUUGAGGCCGAAGCUCUCUCAACACCACCAGGCUAACCCAGCUGGUUCCCUUUGUUUUGUUGCAGUGAUCAGUUGGGCAUACGGUUUUAUCAAUCACUCAACCUCGACCUCAACCUGCGUAAGGUCAACAAGGUGAGAGGCCACUGGAGUGCAAGAAACAGUGCGUAAACUUUUUAUAUGAUAUAUCAAGUUGCAUAGUCAGGGUGUGGUUUAUAUGAGAUAUCAACUUUUGGAGGGUGAUUGGCUUAAAAUUGGUUAUUUGGUUUAGGUCUGAUUUUUCAUAUGUAAUGUGUUUCUGAUCAUGAACCGGUUUGAGCAAAUAGUAUUUUUCAUUAAGGUAAAUAUAGUUUUACUGGUUCUCUCGGUUCGUAAAAAAAAAAGGGUGUACUUAUGUGUGCAUCUAACAACUCAGGAUCCAAAACAACUAACAUUAAUUGAAUGUUGUAGAAACUUCUUUAUACUUUGGAUAAUUUUCAUACUAUGGGGACUAUGUAGAUUUUUGCAUCGUAUUAAGAAACCAACUGAAUUGAGAAUUUUGGAAAGAACAUCUCAAUGAUGUUAAAAAAAAAUAAAAACCCGGUGUACUGGUAUAAAUCAUCAAGUGGAUGGCCCAUAACCAAGGUCCAACAGUGUGGAAGAGAGGCGGCCAAGUUCCCA